rnacentral:rRNA from 1 species
UACGGAAUGUGCAAACGUUAUUCGGAAUCACUGGGCUUAAAGAGUCCGUAGGCGGCAUGUUAGGUGAGGUGUGAAAUCCCCCGGCUCAACCGAGGAAUUGCGCUUCAAACCGGCGUGCUUGAGGAAGAUAGAGGUGGGCGGAACUGAUGGUGGAGCGGUGAAAUGCGUUGAUAUCAUCAGGAACACCGGAGGCGAAGGCGGCCCACUGGGUCUUUUCUGACGCUGAGGAGCGAAAGCGUGGGGAGCAAACAGG